UAAAAUUACAACACAAAGAAAGCGGAAGGUAACUUCCUGCGACACUGGCGCAAUCCCGGAAGUGGAACAUCAAGGAUAUAGACUAUUUGAGUAGUAACAAUGUAAUCUCUUUAUGUUUAAAGUAAUAUAUCCAGUAAGAAUAUUGCAAACAAGAGUAAUUGAUGAGAACAUGGGGGCGUGUGCGAUCACGGAAGGCGUAUCAUGUGAAUGCCCCGACGGUGUUGUUGUCAUUACUAAGAAUUCCUCAUGGGGGAGACAAACUACGCACUGUAGCUUUAAGGUCAUCAUAUUGACUUACAACACAAUGCAAUGUUACCCAUUAGCUUUACAUUUGCUACAAGUUCUUCUUAAUUUCCCACUUAUUACUUCACAUCACAUGUUUAUACAACACCAGAUGGAUAUUCAAGUGUAUCUUCUUAUCACCUUAAGUAAGUAUGUCAUGAUCUAAAACCUGCUGUAUGUCUCAAAGCGCAACCAUAGUAACAACUGACUUGGGAAUUUUAAGCACGCUUUUAUAUCUGUAUUCUUCUGUGGCAUGUCUCAAUUGAUUUGUAAGUAUGUAUUUUUCUGCUGCAAGUCAACUGUUUUGUUCAAAUGUGUAUUACUGUAAUUUUUGUGCAGGGUACUUAAUGGAGUGUUAACUUUAAUUGAAUACUGUAUAUUUUGGUGGCCUUGCGUACUAAGAUGUUUUAUCGAAAUGUAUACAGUAAUGUAAUGAUGUGGAAACUACAUACUGUAUGUAGAUAUUUAUUAAAUGAUGUCACCCUAUUUAUAUCAUUUCUGUGACUGUUUAUAUAAAAUGAUAUGUUGGAUAAACAGAACUUUGUGUUUGGAAAGU